UACGUAGGGUGCAAGCGUUUAAUCGGAAUUACUGGGCGUAAAGCGUGCGCAGGCGGUUGUGCAAGACAGAUGUGAAAUCCCCGGGCUCAACCUGGGAAUUGCAUUUGUGACUGCACGGCUAGAGUGUGUCAGAGGGGGGUAGAAUUCCACGUGUAGCAGUGAAAUGCGUAGAGAUGUGGAGGAAUACCGAUGGCGAAGGCAGCCCCCUGGGAUAACACUGACGCUCAUGCACGAAAGCGUGGGGAGCAAACGGG
rnacentral:rRNA from 1 species